UACGUAGGGUGCAAGCGUUAAUCGGAAUUACUGGGCGUAAAGCGUGCGCAGGCGGUUUUGUAAGUCUGUCGUGAAAUCCCCGGGCUCAACCUGGGAAUUGCGAUGGAGACUGCAAGGCUAGAAUCUGGCAGAGGGGGGUAGAAUUCCACGUGUGAGCAGUGAAAUGCGUAGAGAUGUGGAGGAACACCGAUGGCGAAGGCAGCCCCUGGGUCAAGAUUGACGCUCAUGCACGAA
rnacentral:rRNA from 1 species